rnacentral:rRNA from 1 species
ACGCUAGCGGCAGGCCUAACACAUGCAAGUCGGACGGGAUUCAGGGAGUAGCUUGCUACGAACUGGUGAGAGUGGCGCACGGGUGCGUAACGCGUGAGCAACCUACCCAUAUCAGGGGGAUAGCCUCUCGAAAGAGAGAUUAACACCGCAUAACAUCAUUUACCGGCAUCGGUUAAUGAUCAAAUAUUUAUAGGAUAUGGAUGGGCUCGCGUGACAUUAGCUAGUUGGAGGGGUAACGGCCCACCAAGGCUACGAUGUCUAGGGGCUCUGAGAGGAGAAUCCCCCACACUGGUACUGAGACACGGACCAGACUCCUACGGGAGGCAGCAGUAAGGAAUAUUGGUCAAUGGAGGGAACUCUGGACCAGCCAUGCCGCGUGCAGGAUGACUGCCCUAUGGGUUGUAAACUGCUUUUGUCAGGGAAUAAACCUUUCUACGUGUAGGAAGCUGAAUGUACCUGAAGAAUAAGGAUCGGCUAACUCCGUGCCAGCAGCCGCGGUAAUACGGAGGAUCCAAGCGUUAUCCGGAUUUAUUGGGUUUAAAGGGUGCGUAGGCGGUCCUAUAAGUCAGUGGUGAAAGACGGCAGCUUAACUGUCGCAGUGCCUUUGAUACUGUAGGACUUGAAUCUAUUUGAAGUGGGCGGAAUAAGACAAGUAGCGGUGAAAUGCAUAGAUAUGUCUUAGAACUCCGAUUGCGAAGGCAGCUCACUAAGUUAGUAUUGACGCUGAUGCACGAAAGCGUGGGGAUCAAAC